CCAGGAGCUCCAGGAGAGAUGGGUCAACCCGGACUACGAGGACCUGAAGGCUCAAAGGGUGCAAGGGGAGUGCCAGGUGCUUCAGGUCCUAAUGGAUUCCCUGGUUCGCCAGGGUUUAAAGGCAGCACUGGUGCUCCAGGCAGGCCAGGAUUAUCAGGACCUCCUGGAUACCCUGGAAACAAAGGUUUCCCUGGUCCCAGGGGAUAUCCUGGACAUGAUGGAGAUCGGGGAGAUCCAGGGCCUUGGGGAGAAUCGGGUAUCCCAGGGUUACUGGGAAUUUCAGGAGCCAAGGGUGAGUCAGA
rnacentral:lncRNA from 1 species